UUCUGUGAUGCAGGCAGAGAGGCUCGCGCGCCCGUCGCGACCGAACGCCGCCUCGCCGAACGCGCUACGGACGCCCCGAGCCGCGACGUCGACCGGUCCGCCCGGUCUUGUGAUUACACCUUGUGCGACACAUUAUAAUUGUGCAGUGUUAUUUGGACAUUUGAGAAGCUUCUACUCCGUGAACAAAGUGUUACUCUCUUACUAACUACCGUUUAACUUGUAAGUGCGGUCUAACUUAACUGUGAGUGUAAGUUUUGAAAAGUUUAAUUUUUAUCUUUUACAGUGAUACGUCUUGUAAAGUGAACUAAACUUUAAUCGGAAGUCGUGUUUCAUGUGCCGGGAAUAUUUGUUCAACAAGUUUUGUAUGAAUAUCAGUUACUUUGCUUUUUAGUAAAGUUGAAACUUUUACAACUUACUCUGCAUCAUUUUUCAUACAUUUGUGUGUGUCGUCCGAAUCAAGUUCAAGAGCAUAUGAUCGAACACAUUAAAGAUCAUUAAGCUUCAUUCGUCUCGUCGCGUCUUGGACGAAAAUCGGACUGACAAAGUGCAGCUUAACCAUGUCAUAAGGUGUGUAUUGUACUAAUUGGAUAUGAGAGGAUGAGCCAUGGAAUCACGAAGCGCGCCGCCGAGCCCCGACGAGCCCGGGGAGGCGGUGUACGACAGUCGGUGUGGACGUUACCCGCACCCUCCGACUCUGCAGCGGACCUUCGCCAGCUGCCGCGAGACCGCACGACCUCGCCCCCAUCACCGUCAUGCCACAUCAGAACCCGCGCGACCAGACGACCACGUACAGCAGUCGUUCGUCACAGCAGAGGUUCACGACUACCCGUCCUCAGAAUCCGGCAUCGCUGCCGAUUGCCCUCACGCUCAUACUAGCAACGCUGAUGACAGCCCUUCUUAUGAUCGCUCAGAUUUUGAGGGAAAUUCCAGCUAUAGUCUGAGGCACACUCCUGAUUAUCACCAUACGCUUGAUUGCAAACACAGGCCUAUUGAUUACAAUCGUAGCCACACACCUGAUUACAAUCAUGGCCAUGGAUCAGACUGUGACCGAGCACACGGACGCUCACAAACAUCACGCCGACCUCAUAGGAAGCACAGGCGCGAGGAAGAUGAUGGUGCGCAGUCACUUGAUGAACGAUGCGCCAGAGAUCUGGAUGAAAUCCUUCCAGCGAGGCUCGCCGCAGUCAAUCUAUCGAGAGAGCCUCCACCUCAGACUUGGAACAGGAGCAAUAUUGCAGCAACUAUGGAACGAUUUGAACCAGUUGAUUACUCUUAUGCUUACUACGACCACCACCUAUCAAUGCCUUCGUCAUCAAGAAAAGUAAACCGUCAGCGAGGUAGAGGCGGCAUACCGCGAGAUAGGUCAUCUCGACACAACUACGUCACUAGAUAUGGCACCGAAGAGAACAUUUAUGAAGAAAUCACAGAUGGCUCUAGAACGUGUCCCAAACAUCGGUACGCGCCGCGUCAGUCACUAGUUUCUUUAGAUAGAAGUGUUGUCGAGGAGGAAGUUCGUCGGGUAGAAUCGAGGCACAAACGAAUUUUGGGCGAAUUGAAUCUUAGUGUAGAAGCGAUGCUGAUGCCGGAAUGCGAAUCUCCCGAUUCCGAGCGUGCAGAAGACAGAGACAAUAUCGAGGAAUUGUUGCGAGUUGGUCCGACGGACGAGUUACUCUCGCCGGCAAGUUGUAAUCCACCAGACUUAGACAGCGGGUUUAGUGGCAGCAGUAGCGGGGCAAGUUAUGUAGGUAGUUUGCGCCGUAAACCGACGGGAUCAGUGCCGCAUUUGCCUGCCGUGGCGUACGGCACGCGCGGAGCCGGCGUGCGGAUCCUCGGCGCUGAAGAGUGUGGCCUGCGAUGUCCCAAGGACAUACCGUCACCACGUAGCUCCAGCUGUGGAGAUGCCAAAGCUAGCGGGUUUUGGAACAAAAAGGCCUGGAAGAAAAUAUCAGGUUUCUCUAGUUCUAACAGCAUCAACAAAGCCGGAUUAACUGGUCUGCUCGUUAGGUACACUUUCCGGCGUAAGUCCGGCUCGCAGGGCUCUCAGGGCAAGCGGCGUGCCGAGCCCGUCAAAUGCGAUGCGUGCCUCUCACAACGAUGUUAGCCGCUCUACGAUGACGCGUGUAGGCCAAGCAGAGCUAAAUCCAGAACAGCCACUAUACCAUACAGCUACUCCAACGGAAAACUGGUGGUGCCGCUGGAUUCCCUAGCACAGAGCUGAGGGGCCAGUCCCCCGCGGCAUUCCCGCCUCCAACUCCUCCGAGGGACUCCUCAACGCCGCAGGACAACGCUGAACACAUAACACGGGAGAUAUUUUUCUUAAAUCUAUCGUGUCACACUGAACAAACAUUCCAUUUGAGCCCGACUACGGGCGCCAUUAGAUUGUCGACACCUCAGCGAGUCUCAAAGACAAACUGUUCGUAGGUGUACCCAGUGUAAAUAUAGUGAACAGACAUUGACAUGUUACUGUAGGACAAGCGAGGAGAGUAUACGUCGAAGUGAUAGAAACGCCUAAAUUAAUUAUUCGUAUUGUUAUAACGAUCGUUUCAUAGAAACGUAAUGACUACGUUGUUGUUACUUAUCAAUUUUUAGUAGUUAAUAGGUACAUGAAAAGGCUGACAAAGUUGAAACCGAUUUUGUAAAUGAUAUGAAGCUGCCAUGUUAGCUAAUACUUCAGUUUUGUCUACCAGUUUGGCGUUUAUCUGCGAUUUUUCUAUAUCAAAAAUAUUAGAUAAAUGUAAUUCGAUAUAAGAAAAUUUAUAACUCUAAAAGCUACAGAUCUUUGCCCAAAACAUGGUGCUUGAUAUAACAUUACUGGAACAUCUGUCACUGCGUUAUUUACUGACCGUGUAAAUAACUUCAUGACCCGAGCUACAAGAAUUGUAAGGUCCAAUCUAUUUAUUUCCAACAUACAAGUAUGUGUAAAUUAAUUUGUUUCAUAAAAGUUUUAAACGUUUAUCUCAUUCGGUAAAACUAUUGUUAAUAAUUGUUAGUUGAUAGUUGUAUAUUUUGUAAAUACAUGCGAAAAAUAUGGUGCACUAUUUGGUUUAUAAUUUAUGUAAAUAGAUAAUAAAUGUAUGUAUACAGUCACAGUCGUACGCUUUAACUAUAUUUUACAUGCAUUUCUCGUAAACAGUUGAGUGUCCUCGUAAUAAGAAUUUGAAUAAAAUAUCAUUAAAUAUCGUGUUUUGUUUCGUGGGAUAUUUAUUGUGAUGAUAGUAAUUCAUUCUUGUAUGUGUAACGCGGUGUUGGAUUGGAACACAUGCCUUUAUAGUAGUAUUUUGGUAUUAAGUGGUUGAUCCAUUACAUUUGCGUACCUCGGCGCGAGGCGUCGUUUGUAUUCGAGGCAUCCGCUUAGCUCGAGGCGUCUCAAAUGGAGCACCGGCUUUACGUGUACAGAUUUGACAUAUGGGAAUUACUAUGCGUGCUGAUUUACAAACAUAAAUAAAACUGAACGGCUUUCACUCUACGCCACAUGUUGCCAGUAAUUGUUUGUGAUUUUGUAAUAAGGAUCUCGAUGCACACAUGUUGUUUGGUUCAUAAAAUUAUCUUCCUGUAAUUUACUGCACUUAUAAAUAUUAUACAGAGUCAUGUCAUGUUUUUCAACAAGUAUACUGUAUACUUAAAAUUAGGUUUAACGUAAAUUUAAGGUCUUUACUUAUGAAAUUGUCGUAUUUAAAAGGUAAUUUCGCUGCAUAAACGGCAUUCUUACAAGUAAAAUUCUCAGCAAAUACUAGCAACACUAAGGACGUAGAGUGAACCGCUACCAUAGUAAUUAAGAAUAUAAUUUACCACCAAUCACAAGAGGAAUGUAAAUAGUACUAGUAAUAAUGUAAAUUUUUCAUUUUAUCAGUCAGUGAGGGAGUCUGUGUAACUAUUAUUAUUCUAAGCUCGACUGAUACGACGUAAAAUAAUCUCAAUGUUACAUGAAAUAAUAUUUCUUUAACUGUCUGUAAUUUAGUGAUCGUGUUCAAGUCAAAAGAGAUUUUUAUUAAAUAAAUUUAAAAAAACA